UUGCUUAUUGUGUAAAGUAUUUGUUUAAAACCUUUGGGCACCAUCUGUACACACUAUCUAAUGACGUCACGUGUUUGUGUUUGUUAUGUUUUUAGCUGAAGAAUGACCUACCGAUGAAGAAAAACUGUCUACUAAUAGAGAAAAUGAAUAUUAAGCAACAUGAUGGAGCCCUGUUAUACGUUGUCAUCUGUAGACGAUCUUGUUAAUGACUAUCUGCAGGAUGCCGGGGAUAUUGACAAUAGUUUUGAUACAAUUCUUGACCACGAAGCUCGCAGAAUCAUGCCUUGAAAUAGAUGCUAUAAAUUCAUGUGAAAGGGUAUAUAACAUGGAGGGCAUAGAGGAAGCUUGUAUCAGAUACAACGGCGGGAAAUCACUGGGGCGUUGUUCAAUUGGAUUUGAUAAUAUCGACCCACGUACUGAAAUAUGUAUCGUUCCAGAAAGGAUAAAACUAAGCUGUUAUUCUAACGUGAAAUAUUACAAGGACUUUCUGCACGAAUUCUUUACAGAGG